CGGAAGGCUGGAUCGUCCCCAUGAGGUGGAGGGGUGUGGGUGACACACUGAAUCCAGUUGCUGCACGGCAAGGAAGUCACAUCAGGUGUCUCUGUGAACCUCCUCAAAGAGUUGAGGGACACGAGAGAUUGGAAAUGGAGUUAACAGUGACUGAGCCCAGCCAAUAUUCAACAUGGCGGCAGAGACAACCUGAGAAUGAGGCUUCUCUAAACAGCAGGUUCUCCCCCACGGUCGGGCUGUACGGGAAGCAGCUUUGCUCCCGGCUCUGUUUCCUCGCUCACUCUGGAAGCCAGAUGCCAGCUGUGGGCAGCUGUGAGGAAGACAUCAGGGUGAGGCAGUAGGAAUUUUGCCAGCAGCCUAAGAGUGGCCUCUGCUUGGUGAGCCUGCAAUCUGUCAUCAGCUUGACAAACCUCCCCAGUGACCUGGACCACGACAGCUCUGACUCUCGAUCCCCAGCUGCCAGAGAUGGGAAAGCACGGCCAUACAACCAGCAGGUGGAGUGAUAGUUACCUUCAACUGCCGACUUGAUACAACCUUACCUGGGAAGAGUCUCAAUCUGGGAUUGUCUGGAUCAGGCUUGCCCGUGAGCA
rnacentral:lncRNA from 1 species